rnacentral:lncRNA from 1 species
AGCUGACAAGCCGUAGCAGGACGGCCAUCCCCUGAGAGAUAGGAGAGGAGGAGAAACAGCCCAGCAGGGGCCUGGAGCAGCUGGCUGGCGUCAGUAAUUUCCUGCAGGAGACUCUGCCGGCCGAGCACACGUCACCCUUCUGUUGAUCCUCUGUAUUCUCCCUUGUGCUACUAAAAUACGCUAAUGUAACUCCUGGGCUGUGCUGAGCUAAAUGCAGUUAUUUAACUUCAUCACUAUGGAACCCAGGUCUAAAGCAGCAACAUCUAUUUGGAACAAGGUGGGGAGGAGGAAAAAUAAUCUUCCCUGGAUCUGAGCAACUGUAUUAAGUUUGUGCUUGUCCAACACCUGCAACACAUGCCCCUACCUGGAGAAGAGAUUCUGGAACAAUCGGUCUCCUAGGAUUCCCUGAGAGUCACAGUUACCUGCAUCAAAGUAUCAAGGAGGCCACUUAAUGACAGAAAUGUUAGGGUCACCUCACUAGAGCAGACCUCCAUCAGUCGGUGUUUACCCACCUUCCAGAGCUUCCUUCCUGGACUCUUGCCCUCGGAUUCCCCACCUGUAGAACUCUCACACUGCCAUCACCCAACUCAGGAUCCCAAGAAUGCCCAUUUUCAGCCUUAUAAAUCCUUUACCUUGCUUCCAAGACCCUAUAGUCUAUUUGUUUUCCAAACUUUCUCUCCAAGCAUCAGAUUCCUCAUGAAACUUACACUGACUAGUCCGCCACCCACCUCCCUCUCCUUGGAUCUUCACGGCACCUAGGUAUGCAAGGCAUAAAGUAAUGUAGAAUGCCCUUCCGGCUUAUGUGGAACCACAGGGGAGUCCCCUGGGCUUUUAAUAUGGUUUCCCCAUCUGGAAUGACACCUCCUGAAGGACAAAAACCUCUUGUUAAAAAAGUCAACUUUAUUGAAAUAUAACAUACAUACACCAAAAUGCACCUGAUUUUUUAAGUGUUCAGUUUGAUAAGGUUUGACAGAUGUAUACACCCAUGUAACCACCAUCACAACCAAGAUAUAGAACAUUUCUAUCACCCCAGAAAUACCUCUGAGCCCCUUUGUAGUAAAUUCCUCCACCCCCGACCCAGGCAGCCACUUGCUGGAUUUCUAUUCAUAUAGAUUAGUUUUGCCUGCCCUUGAACUCCACAAAAGUGCAGUCACAAAGGUUGUAGUCUUUUGUGUCAGUCUCUUUUGGUUAGCACGAUGUUUUAAAGAUUCCCCCACACUGUUUAUUAUUUUUUUGUUGCUGAGUGGUAUUCUAUGGUAGAGACUAUACUACAACUUGAUUGUCAAUGUUGACUAAAUUUGGG